UAACGCGUAGGUAACCUGCCUUGUAGCGGGGGAGUAACUAUUGGAAACGAUAGCUAAUACCGCAUAACAAUGGAUGACCCAUGUCAUUUAUUUUGAAAGGGGCAAAUGCUCCACUACAAGAUGGACCUGCGUUGUAUUAGCUAGUAGGUGAGGUAACGGCUCACCUAGGCGACGAUACAUAGCCGACCUGAGAGGGUGAUCGGCCACACUGGGACUGAGACACGGCCCAG
rnacentral:rRNA from 1 species